rnacentral:ncRNA from 1 species
UAAACCCUGCUGAACCGAAGUCUAACGCGCCGCGUCAGAUAUUUUUUAGGUGAAGCGGGGUUUA